rnacentral:piRNA from 1 species
AACUCAGUGUAUCAGAUCGCCAUGG